rnacentral:rRNA from 1 species
CGAGCACGCGCGUGUGGCAUAUCAAUAAGCGGAGGAAAAGAAACUAACAAGGAUUCCCUUAGUAACGGCGAGUGAAGCGGGAAGAGCUCAAAUUUGAAAUCUUCAAGGUUCUACCUUGACGAAUUGUAGUUUAUAGAAGUGUUUUUCUGUUAGUGGAGUGGCAAAAGUUCUUUGGAAUAGGACAUCAUAGAGGGUGAGAAUCCCGUAUUUGGUCAUUCCUCCUAGCGUUGUGAUACACUUUCAACGAGUCGGAUUGUUUGGGAAUGCAGUCCAAAAUGGGUGGUAAAUUUCAUCUAAAGCUAAAUAUUGGCGAGAGACCGAUAGCGAACAAGUACCGUGAGGGAAAGAUGAAAAGAACUUUGAAAAGAGAGUUAAACAGUACGUGAAAUUGUCAAAAGGGAAGCGUUUGACACCAGUGUUGUUUUUUCCGAAAAUCAAUUACGAGUGCUUUUGUUUUUGAGGAAGUUAUGACUUCAUCGGCUUGCUUCCUCUCUUUACGAAACUUUCUUAAUGCACUUUUCGGUUAACAAGUCAACAUCAAUUUCUUUUGUUGUAAAAGGGUAUGAGGAAGGUGGCUUUCUUUUCGGAGAAAGUGUUUAUAGCCUUGUGCCUCUGCAAUCGGAGAGAUUGAGGUCCUGCAGCGUAGAUCCUUCGGGGUUAGAUACGUUUGUGCUAAGUUAUAGCUUUUCAUAGACAACUUGUUGACUAUGUUUAGUCUUGUAGCUUACUCGCUGACGCUAUUUUACCUACGCUUAGGAUGUUGAGUAGCGACAUACGCAC